rnacentral:lncRNA from 12 species
AGCUACAAUUCAGUAUAGAAUUAUAAAUUAUGUUCAGAGUAAUGAUCCUGAGGUAUUGCAGGAUGCUGAAUCAGUAAGAGAAGAUUUAAUUAUGUUCAUUAGACUACUUAUUAAAGCAAGAAAAUACCCCGAGGCAAUUUAGAGAUAUUUCAAACAAAAAGUGUCUUUUCAUCAACCCAUAGUUAAUCAGAAACCCAAUUACCCUGUAUUCUGUAUUCUAAGAUUUUACUGGUUUUAGACUUAUUUAUUUUUCUUUACAACUGUGACCAAAUCACUGAUUCAGAUCUCAGUCUUCACAUUUAUACCACUAAAAUCAAUGGAUCACUCUUCCCUCAAACAAUAUAAAAAGCUACCAAAAUAAUCACUUCAGAGACAGAAAAAAACAAUUAUUUAAACAAGAAAUAGAUAUGAAUAAAGUAAUAAAAUUCUGAGUUUUGCUUUAGAACACUCCAGAUGUACUCUAUAAGGUAUACAUGCAAUUAAAAAGCAAGGAAAAAAAAAAGAAAUAAAGCAACAAUUUUCCAAGUAUGCUGAUAUUUUGAUAAAUCUUAAUGCUUUCUAAAUUCCAAAUAUCUAUUAAGUAUUAAAAUAGAAUAAGGUUCUCUGGAAAAUGUAAUUCACGGGUGAGAGUGUCAGCAAGACUACUUGUCAUUUGAGGCUGUCUGUUUUUCUUUUCUUUUCUUUUUUUAAGCUUUAUGCCCAACAUUGGGCUUGAACUCAAGACCCUAAGAUCCAGAAUUAUUUGCUGUACUGACUGACCCAGCCAAGUGCCCCAAGGAUAUUCCUUGUACCGUUCCACGUGGUCUUCAACUGGUGAGGAAGUCUUACUUCUCCCUAUACUGACCAUGAACAUCUUCUCAUGCAUCCUCAUCAUUCAGAUGCAAAAAUCUCAGAACCAAUGAACAAUCUCUGACAACUUCUAGUCCGCUUACUCCAAUCAGUUCCACCUGUAAAUUCAGUUGAUUGAGUCAGCCUCCAAGAUGUUUCUCAUCUCAUCAGUCUCUUCCUUUCCAAGCUUCAUAUCCAAUAAGCAUGGUGUGAUUUCAGGCAACUGGCAA